rnacentral:misc_RNA from 1 species
UUGCGAAUGAAGUUGAGCCCAGUAACCCCCGUGUAGCAUAUCUAUGUCGAUUUUAUGCUUUUGAGAAAGCUCAUCGGUUAGAUCCCACUUCAAGUGGACGUGGUGUUCGACAAUUUAAAACUUCCCUCCUGCAGCGACUUGAAAGGGAAAAUGAUCCAACUUUGAUCGGAAGGGUUAAAAAAAGUGAUGCACGUGAAAUGCAGAGCUUUUACCAGCAUUACUACAAGAAGUACAUUCAAGCUUUGCAAAAUGCUGCUGAGAAAGCAGAUCGUGCACAACUUACCAAGGCAUACCAAACUGCAAAUGUACUCUUUGAGGUUUUGAAAGCAGUUAAUCAGACUCAAGCAGUAGAAGUUGAUCGGGAGAUUUUGGAAGCUCAUGAUAAAGUUGCCGAGAAGACACAGAUCUUAG